rnacentral:rRNA from 1 species
GUUCUUGAAAUUUAAAAAAUUUGGCGGUAUUUUAGUCUUUUCAGAGGAACCUGCCCUAUAAUUGAUAAUCCACGAUUUAUUGUACUUAUAUUACAAGUUUAUAUAUCGUCGUAGUUGAAUACCUUAAAAGAGUUAGUAUUCAAUAUUUAUAAUAAAUAAAUUAAAUCAGAUCAAGAUAUAGUUUAUAUAUAAGAAGAGGUGGGUUACAAUUAAUUUAUUAAUGGUUAUAAUAUUUAAAAUUAUUAUUUAAAUUGGAUUUGAAAGUAAUAUACUCUAAUUUGAGUAUAUGAUUUAAGCUCUAAAAUAUGCACAUAUCGCCCGUCGCUUCCAAUAAAAUUUUAAAUUGGAAUAAGUCGUAACAUAGUAGGUGUACCGGAAGGUGUACCUAGUAUUCAAAUUAAAGCUUUAUAGAAGUUUUUUAUUUACAUUAAAAAGAUAAUUGUAUUUCAAUUUAAUUUGAAUUUAUUAAUUUAUAUAAUUUUUUUUUAUAUUAAAAAUUUAAAAAAAGUAUUUUUAUGUUUAUUUAUAAUAAAAGAAAAAAUUUUUAUAAUUAUAGUUUAUUAAGUAUAGUAAUAGAAUAUUGAAAAAUUUGAAAAUUUAAAUAUAUAAAAGAAGAAUUAAUUUUUUGUACCUUGUGUAUCAGGGUUUAUUAAAUAAUAAUUAUUAAAUUUAAUUUUCUCGAGUUUAAAAGAGUUAAGAAAUUAUAAAUUUUAUUGUAAAAUAAAUAUUUAAAAUAAUUUUUUGGCAAUGAAACGUUAUUCGUUUUUAAAUAUAUCUAGUUUUUUAAGAAAUAAAUUUAAUUUAGUUAAAUAUUUUAAAUUAAAAUAAUUUUUUUAUUUUAUUAUUUAGUAUUUAAUUAAUAUUUUAAGGGAUAAGCUUUAAAAUAAAAUUUUAAAAAUAAAUUAAGUUAAAAAUAUAAAUUAGUAGGAUUAGAAUUUUUUAUUUUUUAUAGUAUGUUAUAAUAAAUUUAUAUUUAUAUUAAAUUUUUAUAUAAUUUUAAAUUAUUUAUUAAAAUUAUUUAUUAAAUAAAAAUUUAUAUGUAUUAAUGAUAAAAUUAGUAUAAAUUUAUUUAUUAAUUAAAUUAAAUUAAAAGGUUAUAUUAAGGAAUUCGGCAAUUGACUUUUUUGCCUGUUUAUUAAAAACAUGUCUUUUUGAUUAUAAUUUAAAGUCUAACCUGCUCAAUGAAUAUUUAAAUAGCCGCGGUAUUUUGACCGUGCAAAGGUAGCAUAAUCAUUAGCUUUUUAAUUAAGAGCUGGUAUGAAUGGUUGGACAAGAAAAGUACUGUCUCAGUAUAAUUUAAAUUAGAAUUUUAUCUUUAAGUUAAAAAGCUUAAAUUUAUUUAAAAGACGAGAAGACCCUAUAGAGUUUUAUAAUAUAAUUAUUUAUAUAAAAUUUAAGUUUAGUUUUUUUUUAAUUGAUUAUAUUAUUUAGUUGGGGUGAUUAAAAAAUUAAUAUAACUUUUUUUAUAUUUUAACAU